UACAGAGGGUGCGAGCGUUAAUCGGAAUUACUGGGCGUAAAGCGCGCGUAGGCGGUUUUGUAAGUCGGGUGUGAAAUCCCCAAGCUUAACUUGGGAACUGCAUUCGAGACUGCAUAGCUAGAGUAUGGGAGAGGAGACUGGAAUUUACGGUGUAGCGGUGAAAUGCGUAGAUAUCGUAAGGAAGACCAGUGGCGAAGGCGGGUCUCUGGACAGUUCCUGACGCUGAGGCACGAAGGCCAGGGGAGCAAACGGG
rnacentral:rRNA from 1 species